GAACGGGUGAGUAAUGUAUCGGAACGUGCCCAGUUGUGGGGGAUAACUGCUCGAAAGAGCAGCUAAUACCGCAUACGACCUGAGGGUGAAAGCGGGGGAUCGCAAGACCUCGCGCAAUUGGAGCGGCCGAUAUCAGAUUAGGUAGUUGGUGGGGUAAAGGCUCACCAAGCCGACGAUCUGUAGCUGGUCUGAGAGGACGACCAGCCACACUGGGACUGAGACACGGCCCAGACUCCUACGGGAGGCAGCAGUGGGGAAUUUUGGACAAUGGGCGCAAGCCUGAUCCAGCAAUGCCGCGUGCAGGAAGAAGGCCUUCGGGUUGUAAACUGCUUUUGUCAGGGAAGAAAUCUUCUGGGCUAAUACCCCGGGAGGAUGACGGUACCUGAAGAAUAAGCACCGGCUAACUACGUGCCAGCAGCCGCGGUAAUACGUAGGGUGCGAGCGUUAAUCGGAAUUACUGGGCGUAAAGCGUGCGCAGGCGGUUAUGUAAGACAGAUGUGAAAUCCCCGGGCUCAACCUGGGAACUGCAUUUGUGACUGCAUGACUGGAGUGCGGCAGA
rnacentral:rRNA from 1 species